rnacentral:misc_RNA from 1 species
GUAGGUGAACCUGCGGAAGGAUCAUUACAGAGUUCAUGCCCUUACGGGUAGAUCUCCCACCCUUGAAUAUCAUACCUUUGUUGCUUUGGCAGGCCGCUUCGGCCACCGGCCUCGGCUGGUGAGUGCUUGCCAGAGAACCCCAAACUCUGAAUUAUAGUGUCGUCUGAGUACUAUAUAAUAGUUAAAACUUUCAACAACGGAUCUCUUGGUUCUG